rnacentral:rRNA from 1 species
AUUGAACGCUGGCGGCAUGCCUUACACAUGCAAGUCGAACGGCAGCACGGGUGCUUGCACCUGGUGGCGAGUGGCGCACGGGUGAGUAAUACAUCGGAACAUGUCCUGUAGUGGGGGAUAGCCCGGCGAAAGCCGGAUUAAUACCGCAUACGAUCUACGGAUGAAAGCGGGGGACCUUCGGGCCUCGCGCUAUAGGGUUGGCCGAUGGCUGAUUAGCUAGUUGGUGGGGUAAAGGCCUACCAAGGCGACGAUCAGUAGCCGGUCUGAGAGGACGACCAGCCACACUGGGACUGAGACACGGCCCAGACUCCUACGGGAGGCAGCAGUGGGGAAUUUUGGACAAUGGGCGAAAGCCUGAUCCAGCAAUGCCGCGUGUGUGAAGAAGGCCUUCGGGUUGUAAAGCACUUUUGUCCGGAAAGAAAUCCUUGGCCCUAAUACGGUCGGGGGAUGACGGUACCGGAAGAAUAAGCACCGGCUAACUACGUG